UCCAACCCCUCCUCUUUAAAGUUCAGUAUUAGCUGGUGGGCGAAGCCGCCGUCCUUGCUGGCGGGCGGGGAAGUGAUGCCAGAGGGUCUCGGAGCUGGAGUGAUGAUUUCUGCAGGGAAAACGCUUCAUCUCGUUGGUCGUCGGUAGCCGUGAAUUUGCCAAGAGAGAGGAAACCGAAAAGGAAUUUUAAUUCUUUUAAUUUCCUUUCUAAACAGUGUUCUCUGCAUUUCGAAGCUCACAGGAGGUUUGCAGGAACGGGCGGCUGAAUUCCUCAAAUAUAAAUAAUAACCAAAUCAAACUAUAGAAUGGGACGGACGGAGAUGCUCGGGGUGACAGACGGUCCCUCUGCCCGGGGCCGCGGCUGUUCCCAGUUCUGGCCAUUCGGAAUAAAAAAAUGAAUGGGAAAAAAUUUAUUAUUAUAAUAAUAAAUCCUGGUGACUCGGGAAUUAAAGAGGGAUAGGGUAGAGGAACGCAGAGAGCAGCGACCCAGACGGGGCUGAGAAAAGCGGCUCAGCUGCCGAGGUGUGAAUGCAACGGCUGAAAAGAGCUUUCCCCAAAUAAAAUAAAAAUAAAAAUAAAUUCGAAAAACUGGAAAGAAAGAAGAAAAAAGAUCCACGCAAUUAACUCUGUCCCCACGGCUGUUGCGCUUGCAAGCAGGAAUAACCCGGGCUCGGGCACACGGAGCCGGCCGGGCUUGCGGGGAUGCUGCGGUGUCCCCAGGGCUGGGCUGCUGCCACCCCCAUGCCCCCCAGAGCCCUUGGGAGUGUUUUGUUCACUUUGACUAUUUUUUCUAUAUUUUUAGUAUUUAAACCAAGCCGCAAAACACGCUCAGCGUAAGGAAUCGUUUCCUGAUUUCAGUUAUUUCUCGUUAUUUGGGGGUUUGGGCGGCGGCUGAAAGAGAGAAAAUAUUAUUUAUUUGCGGGAAAAAUUAAAAAUAAUCUAGAGCAGGGUAGAAUAUUG